AUUAACGCGAAGAACCUUACCUGGACUAGAAUGUGAGGGGAUAUCGGGUAAUGCCGGUAGUCCGGGAAACCGGACCCAAAACAAGGUGCUGCAUGGCUGUCGUCAGCUCGUGUCGUGAGAUGUUGGGUUAAGUCCCGCAACGAGCGCAACCCUUAUCAACAGUUGCCAUCAUUAAGUUGGGAACUCUGUUGAGACUGCCGUUGAUAAAACGGAGGAAGGUGGAGAUGAUGUCAAGUCAUCAUGGCCUUUAUGUUCAGGGCUACACACGUGCUACAAUGGACGGUACAAAACGUCGCAAUCUCGUAAGAGGGAGCUAAUCGCUAAAACCGUUCUCAGUUCGGAUUGAAGUCUGCAACUCGACUUCAUGAAGUUGGAAUCGCUAGUAAUCGCAAAUCAGCAUGUUGCGGUGAAUACGUUCCCGGGUCUUGUACACACGCAAU
rnacentral:rRNA from 1 species